UACGUAGGGGGCAAGCGUUGUCCGGAUUUAUUGGGCGUAAAGAGCGUGUAGGCGGCUUUACAGGUCCGUUGUGAAAACUCGAGGCUCAACCUCGAGACGCCGGUGGAAACCGUAAGGCUAGAGUCCGGAAGAGGAGAGUGGAAUUCCAGGUGUAGCGGUGAAAUGCGUAGAUAUCUGGAGGAACACCGGUGGCGAAGGCGGCAUCCUGGACCAACACUGACGCUGAGGAGCGAAAGCCAGGGGAGCAAACGGG
rnacentral:rRNA from 1 species